GUAAAUUGUUCUCUAUGAAUUUGAAGACGAUUAUAUAAAUCAUAUUCCAUUAUAUAGUUUAGUUCAUUGCUAGAUUUUCGUAACAUAUAAAGCAAGUGAAUGCUUAACAACUACCACAUGUCAUGUUAAUUUUGAUGAACUGGACCGUGGUCUCACAUGUUGCCGGGAACAUGAAUGUGUCUGUUUAUAGUUUUCCCCAAAAGUAUGUGGAAGUUUUAAUCUAUGUGGUUGGUGUAGGGAGUGUGGGGACAAGGAAGAAUACACAGAAGACAGUGGCUAUUGUUCUUGGAGGAAUUGUGGGACUAGGCCUGGGAAUUGCUUGCUUGUUGUUUGCCAAAUCAACUUUGACGAAAAAGAGUAAUACUUACAAGUAUGGUGGAUGAGGUUCGUAUCAUUUUGCAGCAUGAACUAAUUUCUUGAAUUUUGUUUGACCGAGAUUUUUAUAAAAGUUUUAGAAGAUUUUGAUAAAAGAUGAAAUUAUGUGUUGUUAAGAAAUUGUUAAAAGUUGUGGGUCCAUGAAAUGUGUUGAUAAAUUUGAAGUUGGACAAUUUAAAAAGUUUCUAAAUUAGCAAUGUUUUAUCAAACACGCACUUAAUUUGUGGGUAAAAAAUACCGAUUAUCUUAAAUGGGCCACUUUAUUUUAUUAUUCUUGUAAAGAAGUGGAAAAAAUAGGACUCAUUUGACAUGAUUUCUAUUCUUCUUAUGUGUAGAAGAACUUUCUGAUGUUAAUACUCUUCUAAUCAAAUAUAGAACUUUUAGAAAAUUAGAAUGAAUCGAUCCAAAAUUAGCUACUUAGUCUCAGAAGUAAACUUUUGACUUUUCAAAAAUUCUGCCAAACGGUCGUUAAUGAAGUUGAACUGAGUAACUGCAUUAGGAUUGAUGAUUUCCAUACAUUCAUGGCAUUUUUGGGUUGGACUUUUGACUUUUCAAAAGUUCUGUCAAACGGCCCCUUAAUGAAGUUGAACUGAGUAACUACAUUAGGAUUGAUGACUUCCGUACGUUCACAUCAUUUUUUGGUUGGACAAGUAAACAUAGUUCAAUAGAUUGAUAUGGUACAUACCUGCAUCUCAAUUGGUGCAUGCCUUAUAUAUAGUGCUUGUUUGUGCCCCAUUAUGUGAAUAAUGUAUUAUGAAACAGUGAUUGAUGUUGAAAUGUAUGGUUAAAAAAGAAGAAAAAGUUUUUUAUUAUAUUAGACAAUAUAAUAAAUCAAUAUUCGUUUCUUUUGUUUCUUCAAUACCAUAAAAUGUUACGCAAUCUUCUUUGUCAAACAUGUUGUGUAUCUUUUUGGCACUCGAUGAGAAUGUAAUUAUUACUUUUUGGAACAAAAUUGCAGAUAUUUCAAAGUUAGAAAGCAUUAUAUUGUGGAUUGUAAAGAGGAGAAGAUUUGGUUUCCACUUUGUUAGGCAUUACUUCCUUCCUAAGUUUUGUUUUUUCUUUAAUCCCUUUACGAACUAAAUUAAAAGAGCUGUCUAUUUCAUAGAAUUGUGUUAGUUUUUAGUGUAUGAUUGUUGCUUUAUGAAUGUAAAUUCCACAAUUCAUAUAAUAUGUAAUUCCUUUUUAUUAAAGUAAGUAGUUACU
rnacentral:lncRNA from 1 species